AUUGAACGCUGGCGGCAGGCCUAACACAUGCAAGUCGGACGAGCGGCGGACGGGUGAGUAAUGUAUGGGAAACUGCCUGAUGGAGGGGGAUAACUACUGGAAACGGUAGCUAAUACCGCAUACCAUCAGAUGAACCCAUGUGGGAUUAGCUUGUAGGUGUGGUAACGGCUUACCUAGGCGACGAUCCCUAACUGGUCUGAGAGGAUGAUCAGACACACUGGAACGGAGACACGGCCCAGACUCCUACGGGAGGAAGAAGUGGGGAAUAUUGCACAAUGGGCGAAAGCCUGAUGCAGCCAUGCCGCGGGUAUGAAGAAGGUCUUCGGGUUGUAAAGCACUUUAAGUUGGGAGGCGUUACCGACAGAAUAAGCACCGGCUAACUCCGUGCCAGCAGCCGCGGUAAUUC
rnacentral:rRNA from 1 species